ACUAUGAUGUUAGGGCUGCCGAAGCUGCUCUUAGAUCCUUAAAUUAGAGUGACAUAGCUGGGAAGCGGAUAAAGCUUGAACCUAGCCGCCCUGGGGGUUCACGUCGAAACUUUGUGUUACAAGUAAAUCAUGAUCUUGAACAAGAAGAAUCUCAAAGUUUACCUCACCAAUUGAGUUCUUCAAUUGGUAAUUCUCCAACGGGUAACUGGUAACAGUUUGGCAGCGCUGUAGAUCAUUCUCA